AACGAACGCUGGCGGCGUGCUUAACACAUGCAAGUCGAACGAUGAAGCUGGAGCUUGCUCCGGUGGAUUAGUGGCGAACGGGUGAGUAACACGUGAGAAAUCUGCCCUUGACUCUGGGAUAACUGCGGGAAACUGUAGCUAAUACCGGAUAUUUUCCUUGGUGGGCAUCCACUGGGGAAGAAAGAAUUUCGGUCAAGGAUGAUCUCGCGGCCUAUCAGCUAGUUGGUGAGGUAAUGGCUCACCAAGGCGACGACGGGUAGCCGGCCGGAGAGGGUGACCGGCCCCACUGGGACUGAGAGACGGCCCAGACUCCUACGGGAGGCAGCAGUGGGGAAUAUUGCACAAUGGGCGCAAGCCUGAUGCAGCAAAGCCGCGUGAGGGAUGAAGGCCUUCGGGUUGUAAACCUCUUUUAGCAGGGAAGAAGCGAAAGUUACGGUACCUGCAGAAAAAGCACCGGCUAACUACGUGCCAGCCGCCGCGGUAA
rnacentral:rRNA from 1 species